CAGUAGCCGCGGGAAUACAGAGGGUGCGAGCGUUAAUCGGAUUUACUGGGCGUAAAGCGUGCGUAGGCGGCUUUUUAAGUCGGAUGUGAAAUCCCUGAGCUUAACUUAGGAAUUGCAUUCGAUACUGGGAAGCUAGAGUAUGGGAGAGGAUGGUAGAAUUCCAGGUGUAGCGGUGAAAUGCGUAGAGAUCUGGAGGAAUACCGAUGGCGAAGGCAGCCAUCUGGCCUAAUACUGACGCUGAGGUACGAAAGCAUGGGGAGCAAACAGGAUUAGAUACCCCCGUAGUCCCUUGUCUCUUAUA
rnacentral:rRNA from 1 species